AUGAACGCUGGCGGCAGGCCUAACACAUGCAAGUCGAGCGCUACCUUCGGGUGGAGCGGCGGACGGGUUAGUAACGCGUGGGAACGUGCCCAGAUCUACGGAAUAGCCACUGGAAACGGUGAGUAAUACCGUAUACGCCCUUAGGGGGAAAGAUUUAUCGGAUUUGGAUCGGCCCGCGUUAGAUUAGAUAGUUGGUGGGGUAAUGGCCUACCAAGUCUACGAUCUAUAGCUGGUUUGAGAGGAUGAUCAGCAACACUGGGACUGAGACACGGCCCAGACUCCUACGGGAGCAGCAGUGGGGAAUCUUGC
rnacentral:rRNA from 1 species